rnacentral:tmRNA from 1 species
GCGUCAAACAGCAGGGCCUCUCUGGUGAGCCCUGCCUGAGGGCAGCCAGGAGAAGCAAACUCGGGCUGGUUUCUGGAAAUCCUGCCUGUGGGAGAUCCGGGAACGAGAGAAAAUACAGGCUACGCUCGUAGAAGCCUUUGGGGUAAGCCUUUUGGACGCGGGUUCGACUCCCGCCGCCUCCACCA